rnacentral:rRNA from 1 species
GACGUAGGGCGCGAGCGGUGUCCGGAUUUAUUGGGCGUAAAGAGCUCGUAGGCGGUGUGUCACGUCGGCCGUGAAAACCUGCAGCUUAACUGUGGGCGUGCGGUCGAUACGGGCAUCACUGGAGUUCGGCAGGGGAGACUGGAAUUCCUGGUGUAGCGGUGAAAUGCGCAGAUAUCAGGAGGAACACCGGUGGCGAAGGCGGGUCUCUGGGCCGAUACUGACGCUGAGGAGCGAAAGCGUGGGGAGCAAACAGG